rnacentral:rRNA from 1 species
CGAGAAAGCCCGCAAGGGUGAGUAAAGCGGCGCACGGGUGCGUAACACGUGGGUAAUCUGCCCUAGAGUCUGGAAUAACUCGCCGAAAGGCGUGCUAAUGCCGGAUGAGACCACGGGAGCCUCGGCUCCUGCGGGAAAAGGUGGCCUCUGUAUACAAGCUAUCGCUCUAGGAUGAGCCCGCGGCCCAUCAGCUAGUAGGCGGGGCAAUGGCCCACCAAGGCUACGACGGGUAGCUGGUCUGAGAGGACGAUCAGCCACACUGGAACUGAGACACGGUCCAGACUCCUACGGGAGGCAGCAGUGGGGAAUCUUGCGCAAUGGGCGAAAGCCUGACGCAGCAACGCCGCGUGUGUGAUGAAGGUCUUCGGAUCGUAAAGCACUGUCGCGAGGGACG